rnacentral:lncRNA from 1 species
GAGAUCCAGGCGGCCGGCGCGCAACCCCCACACAUACGACGGGUCCGCGAGCACAAGGGCGACGGCGUCGUCGAUUUCAAACAUGGGCGCUGCGCCGUCCGUAUAGGUGCUCACGACAUUGUCGACGUUGAGCGCAAGCGCGGCGACCGCCUUGUUGUCGCUCUGCCUGGUCAGGCCGAGAUGGAAGGCCGAGCCGAUCGUCAGCGCCGUCAGUAAAGCGAUCGCAAGGGUCCGCAGAGAUGGCUUGUUGGGCGAGUCAUCGGGGUUGGCCGGCGGCGCGGCCUCGCCCGUCAGAUACAGCAGGAUGAUCAGCGGCGCGACGAGCACGAUGGCCGACACGAUCGACCUGUACGCCCAACGCACCCCGUCGACCGGCGGGGGUGCGGGAAAGGCACUGCGCCGCGGCGAGCCGACAAGGUAAUCUUGUUCUUGCAUUUGGUUAUUGUGGUGUUUGGCGAGGGCUGGCGUCUGCCCUUUGUGUGGAUGCGGUGGGCGUCUGUGCUCUUUCUCUUCUUUUCUGAAAAACAAAAAAGUUUGCUCUGUCGGCGCGCUCUUUACGGGAGAGAAAGGCGCAUGCGACGGGUUUGGCUCUCUCUUUUUUUUUAUUUGACGAUCGACCCCAACAGAGGGCGCAAUUCGCCCAUUCGCGGUGGCAUCUUUUUCGUCGACAU